rnacentral:rRNA from 1 species
UAACGCGUGGAUAACCUGCCGUAUACCGGGGGAUAACACUUAGAAAUAGGUGCUAAUACCGCAUAAGCGCACGGCUCCGCGUGGGGCAGUGUGAAAAACUCCGGUGGUAUACGAUGGAUCCGCGUCUGAUUAGCUAGUUGGCGGGGUAACGGCCCACCAAGGCAGCGAUCAGUAGCCGGCCUGAGAGGGUGGACGGCCACAUUGGGACUGAGACACGGCCCAAACUCCUACGGGAGGCAGCAGUGGGGAAUAUUGCACAAUGGGGGAAACCCUGAUGCAGCGACGCCGCGUGAGUGAAGAAGUAUCUCGGUACGUAAAGCUCUAUCAGCAGGGAAGAAAAUGACGGUACCUGACCAAGAAGCCCCGGCUAACUACGUGCCAGCAGCCGCGGUAAUACGUAGGGGGCAAGCGUUAUCCGGAUUUACUGGGUGUAAAGGGAGCGUAGACGGCAGCACAAGUCUGGAGUGAAAUCCCGGGGCUUAACCCCGGAACUGCUUUGGAAACUGUGCGGCUGGAGUGCAGGAGGGGUAAGCGGAAUUCCUAGUGUAGCGGUGAUAUGCGUAGAUAUUANGAGGAACACCGGUGGCGAAGGCGGCUUACUGGACUGUAACUGACGUUGAGGCUCGAAAGCGUGGGGAGCAAAACAGGAUUAGAUACCCUGGUAGU